rnacentral:rRNA from 1 species
GUUGCCAUCAGGUAAAGCUGGGAACUACUGGGGAGGCUGACCGGUGAUAAACCGGAGAAGGCGGGGAUGACGUCAAGUCCUCACUGGCCCUUACAUCCCGGGCUACACACGUGCUACAAUGGCAGGUACAGAGGGCUGCAAAGCCGCGAGGUAGAGCGAAUCCCAGAAAACCUGUCUCAGUCCGGAUUGAAGUCUGCAACUCGACUUCAUGAAGGCGGAAUCGCUAGUAACCGCGAAUCAGCAGGUCGCGGUGAAUACGUUCCCGGGCCUU